CCCUUAGAUGUUCUGGGCUGCACGCGCGCUACACUGAAGCUAUCAACACGUUUUCCCUCCCUGAGAAGGGCGGGUAACCUUUUGAAUCAGCUUCGUGGUAGGGAUCGGUGCUUGCAAUUGUUCCCCGUGAACCAGGAAUUCCUAGUAGACGCGAGUCAUAAGCUCGCAUCGAUUAAGUCCCUGCCCUUUGUACACACCGCCCGUCGCUACUACCGAUUGAACGUUUUAGUGAGGCAUUUGGACCGACGCAUCUCAGUUUAACCGCUGGUUUGUGUUGGAAAGACUUCCAAACUUGAGCGUUUAGAGGAAGUAAAAGUCGUAACA
rnacentral:rRNA from 1 species